CGGGACAGGUGGUUAGGUUUAGAAAAGGCCUAGAAGAAAUUGGCGCUCGCUUGCUUCAUACGGUAGCAGAAACAGUAGGGUGAUUUUACAUGGUUUUUUCUUUUCGUAUCCCGAGUGGUUGGUUUUAGCAAUUGUGAUUACCAUGCGUACUAAUGUCUGAAAUGGUUAGAUACUACCGGACAGAGGCGGAUCCAUUAAGGCGCAAAGAGGUGUAGCUGCACUUUCUUUUGUCGAAAAAAUCAUUGUAGGUGCUUUAAACUGCCUAUUUGCUCAACUGGUGUACAGAUUACCUUAUUUCCAUUUUCAACUUGUCCUUUUACUUUAAUUUAUUUUUAUAUUACUCAAUUUACUUAAGUUUACAAUGUAAAUAAGGAAAUACCCCCCAUUUGGAUUCAAAUAAAAAUACUAGAAAAUCAAAUUCCUACCAAAUCAAAAUAUGAAAAAUCGAUUUUAGUGCAAAAUACGAUUUAGGCUAAAAAUGAUGGCUCAUUAAGUCAAUAUAUAUUUCAUACUAAAAUCCCAUAAAAUCAAGUUUUCUUAUUUGAUGUGUAAGGAAUAAAAGCCGCCAAAAAUUACCUUGAGAAAAUGAUUAUUCCGAAAAACCAUUUUUCAUAUUUAAUCAAUUUUGCACCUCUGCUAAAAAAUUUAUGAGUCCGCCACUGCUACCGGAAUUGUAUGUGGCCUCACUUGGCUCGUAACCCAGAGCUUUUUGUCUGAUAAUCUGUCUUAAAUGAAAUUAUUCUGUUGUUAUUCUUGUCAUGUGUUGUUUCACCUUCCUCUUAGUCUCACCUGUCCUUUUCUUUUCUCACAGACGGCCAUAAGAAAUUUAUGCCCUACUCUGUCAACCAUUACUUUCUCUAGCUCGAGCUCUAAUGAAUUUCGAGGCCAUUCACCACCCAAAGGAAAAGAUGUAUAUGGUUGCGUAAUGGGGAUUUCUCUUCAUCUUCUCUCAUUGUUUUUGGCCGACAGAGAAAAGGAAGG
rnacentral:lncRNA from 1 species